rnacentral:rRNA from 1 species
CGGGAAUUUUGGGCAAUGGGCGAAAGCCUGACCCAGCAACGCCGCGUGAGGGAUGAAGUAUUUCGGUAUGUAAACCUCGAAAGAAUGGGAAGAAUAAAUGACGGUACCAUUUAUAAGCUCCGGCUAACUACGUGCCAGCAGCCGCGGUAAUACGUAGGGAGCAAGCGUUGUUCGGAUUUACUGGGCGUAAAGGGCGCGUAGGCGGCGCGGUAAGUCACUUGUGAAAUCUCUGAGCUUAACUCAGAACGGCCAAGUGAUACUGCUGUGCUAGAGUGCGGAAGAGGCAACCGGAAUUCUUGGUGUAGCGGUGAAAUGCGUAGAUAUCAAGAGGAACACCUGAGGCGAAGGCGGGUUGCUGAGCCGACACUGACGCUGAUGCGCGAAAGCCAGGGGAGCAAACG